CCGGUAAGGUGCUCUAUCGCUGUUCCGCGUAAGCGGGAGAGAGGAAAGUCCGGGCAAGGCAGGGCGCCACGCUACCUAACGGGUAGAUGCUCGCAAGGGUAUGCAAUGCGUAACAGAAAAUAACCGUCGCGCUUAGGUGCGAUAAGGGUGAAAAGGUGGGGUAAGAGCCUACCGCGGCGGUGGCAACACGCGCCGGCAGUACGCACCGUGGCUUGCAAGACCAUGUACACCAGCGCUAUAGGGCUGCUCGUCCGAUGCUGGGGGGUAGGUUGCUUGAGCGCUGCGGCGACGCAGCGCCUAGAUAAAUGAUAGGGCUUGACAGAACCCGGCUUAUAGCCUUACCGGUUUU
rnacentral:RNase_P_RNA from 1 species